rnacentral:rRNA from 1 species
UGAAUACGAGACGCUAAGGCGUCGAAGUAGUGUAUGUCAUACUUCCAAGAAAAGCUUGCACUGUCAUAGAUAAAAAACGCCUGUACCAUAACCGACACAGGUGGGUAGGUAGAGUAUACUAAGGGGCGCGAGAUAACUCUCUCUAAGGAACUCGGCAAAAUAACUCCGUAACUUCGGGAGAAGGAGUGCCUUAUUCGUAAGGUUGCAAUAACAAGAUCCAAGCAACUGUUUAUCAAAAACACAGGUCUCCGCUAAGUCGUAAGACGAUGUAUGGGGGCUGACGCCUGCCCAGUGCCAGAAGGUUAAAGAAGUUGGUUAGCGAUUGCGAAGCUGAUAACUGAAGCCCUGGUGAACGGCGGCCGUAACAAUAACGGUCCUAAGGUAGCGAAAUUCCUUGUCGGGUAAGUUCCGACCCGCACGAAAGGCGUAAUGAUUUGGAUACUGUCUCGGAGAGGGGCUCGGUGAAAUAGACUUGUCUGUGAAGAUGCGGACUACCUGCACCAGGACAGAAAGACCCUAUGAAGCUUUACUGUAACUUGAAAUUGAAAUUGGACUUUAUUCGCGCAGUAUAGGUGGGAGGCGUUGAUUAUAAUCUUGUGGGAUUAUUGGAGCCAUCAGUGAGAUACCACUCUUGUAAUGUUAGAUUUCUAACUUUGAAUCAUUAUCUGGUCAAAGAACAGUUUCAGGCGGGCAGUUUGACUGGGGCGGUCGCCUCCUAAACGGUAACGGAGGCGUACAAAGGUUUCCUCUGAACGGUUAGAAAUCGUAUCUAGAGUGUAAAGGCAUAAGGAAGCUUGACUGUGAGACCUACAAGUCGAGCAGGGACGAAAGUCGGUCUUAGUGAUCUGACGGUACUGAGUGGAAAGGCCGUCACUCAACGGAUAAAAGUUACUCUAGGGAUGACAGGCUGAUCUCCCCCAAGAGUUCACAUCGACGGGGAGGUUUGGCACCUCGAUGUCGGCUCAUUGCAUCCUGGGGCGGUAGUACGUCCCAAGGGUUGGGCUGUUCGCCCAUGAAAGCGGUACGCGAGCUGGGUUCAGAACGUCGUGAGACAGUUCGGUCCAUAUCCGGUGUAGGCGUUAGAAUAUUGAGAGGAGCCUUCUUUAGUACGAGAGGACCGAGAAGGACAUACCUCUGGUGUACCAGUUAUCGUGCCAACGGUAAACGCUGGGUAGCUAUGUAUGGAGUGGAUAACCGCUGAAAGCAUCUAAGUGGGAAGCCCACCUCAAGAUAAGUAUUC